rnacentral:tRNA from 1 species
GCCGGAGUAGUAUAAAUUAGUAUACCUGAUUUUCGUUCAGGUGGUUUAGGUCUGUUUAACUUUGGUA